rnacentral:rRNA from 1 species
UACGUAGGGUGCGAGCGUUGUCCGGAAUUAUUGGGCGUAAAGAGCUUGUAGGCGGUUUGCUAAGACAGGUGUGAAAUCCCCGGGCUUAACCUGGGAAUUGCGCUUGUUACUGGCAGGCUAGAGUGUGUCAGGAGGGAGGUAGAAUUCCACGUGUAGCAGUGAAAUGCGUAGAGAUGUGGAGGAAUACCGAUGGCGAAGGCAGGCCUCCUGGGAUAACACUGACGCUGAGGCACGAAAGCGUGGGGAGCAAACAGG